rnacentral:rRNA from 1 species
ACGGGCUUCGGUCUGGUGGCGAGUGGCGAACGGGUGAGUAAAGUAUCGGAACGUACCUUUCAGUGGGGGAUAACGUAGCGAAAGUUACGCUAAUACCGCAUAUUCUGUGAGCAGGAAAGCAGGGGAUCGCAAGACCUUGCGCUGAUUGAGCGGCCGAUAUCAGAUUAGCUAGUUGGUGGGGUAAAGGCCUACCAAGGCGACGAUCUGUAGCGGGUCUGAGAGGAUGAUCCGCCACACUGGAACUGAGACACGGUCCAGACUCCUACGGGAGGCAGCAGUGGGGAAUUUUGGACAAUGGGGGCAACCCUGAUCCAGCCAUGCCGCGUGAGUGAAGAAUGCCUUCGGGUUGUAAAGCUCUUUCGGCCGGGAAGAAAUCGCAUGGGCUAAUACCCUGUGUGGAUGACGGUACCGGAAUAAGAAGCAUCGGCUAACUACGUGCCAGCAGCCGCGGUAAUGCGUAGGGUGCGAGCGUUAAUCGGAAUUACUGGGCGUAAAGCGUGCGCAUGCGGUUUAGUAAGACAGGCGUGAAAUCCCCGGGCUCAACCUGGGAACUGCGCUUGUGACUGCUAAGCUAGAGUAC